rnacentral:rRNA from 1 species
ACAGGGAUUGCCCUAGUAACGGCGAGUGAAGCGGCAACAGCUCAAAUUUGAAAUCUGGCGUCUUCGGCGUCCGAGUUGUAAUUUGCAGAGGGCGCUUUGGCAUUGGCAGCGGUCCAAGUUCCUUGGAACAGGACGUCACAGAGGGUGAGAAUCCCGUACGUGGUCGCUAGCCUUUACCGUGUAAAGCCCCUUCGACGAGUCGAGUUGUUUGGGAAUGCAGCUCUUAAUGGGAGGUAAAUUUCUUCUAAAGCUAAAUACUGGCCAGAGACCGAUAGCGCACAAGUAGAGUGAUCGAAAGAUGAAAAGCACUUUGGAAAGAGAGUUAAAAAGCACGUGAAAUUGUUGAAAGGGAAGCGCUUGCAGCCAGACUUGCCUGUAGUUGCUCAUCC